rnacentral:rRNA from 1 species
UACGUAGGGUCCGAGCGUUGUCCGGAAUUACUGGGCGUAAAGAGCUCGUAGGUGGUUUGUCGCGUUGUUCGUGAAAACUCAGGGCUCAACCCUGAGCGUGCUUCCGAUACGGGCCGACUAGAGGUAUGCAGGGGAGAACGGAAUUCCUGGUGUAGCGGUGGAAUGCGCAGAUAUCAGGAGGAACACCGGUGGCGAAGGCGGUUCUCUGGGCAUUACCUGACGCUGAGGAGCGAAAGCAUGGGGAGCGAACAGG